rnacentral:rRNA from 1 species
CUACGGGACGCUCCAGUAAGGAAUAUUGCGCAAUGGAGGCAACUCUGACGCAGCCAUGCCGCGUGCAGGAAGAAGGCCUUAUGGGUCGUAAACUGCUUUUAUUUAGGAAUAAACCCCCGAACGUGUUCGGGGCUGAAGGUACUAAACGAAUAAGCACCGGCUAACUCCGGCCAGCAGCCGCGGUAAUACGGAGGGUGCAAGCGUUAUCCGGAUUUAUUGGGUUUAAAGGGUGCGCAGGCGGGCUAUUAAGUCAGUGGUGAAAUCCCGGGGCUCAACUCCGGAACUGCCAUUGAUACUGAUAGUCUUGAGUUUGGUUGAAGUGGGCGGAAUGUAGCAUGUAGCGGUGAAAUGCAUAGAUAUGCUACAGAACACCAAUCGCGAAGGCAGCUCACUAAGCCAAAACUGACGCUCAUGCACGAAAGCGUGGGGAUCAAACAGGAUUAGAUACCCUAGUAGUC